rnacentral:lncRNA from 1 species
GCAAUAAAUCUUGGGUUACAUCCUUAUGCACUACUAAAACACUACCCUUUUUUUAGGAGUUGACGUGGCCCAACAGUAGUACUAUUCUGCUGGUUGUGUAAAACGUUGCUUAGACUUCAAUUUUUUUUUUCUAAGUCCUUAAAAUUGAAAAAUGGAUCAGUUUUAAACGUACUUUUAAUAUUCAUUUAUUUAAAAUUUAUUCAAAUAUAAAUUUAUUGAAAUAUUCAAAUAUAGAUUUAUUGUAAAAACUUAUACUAAAUAAAUUUAUUGAAAUUUAUUCAAUUAAAUAAUACCAACUAUUAAAUUUUUGUUUCAUUUUCCUAAAGUUUGAUUUUUCAUUUUUUCUCAUAAUAUUAAUUUAUGAUUCAACAUAAAUUUAAUUUCUCUGUAAUUGUUAUGUAUUACAUCUUUUUAAAUAUUAUUCUUAAUUAAAUAUAAUUUUAACAUAAAAUUUCUCUAGUUAGAAAAAUUUCUUUUAUUACUAUUUUUGUAUUUCUUUGUAUAUUAUUACUAUAUAACCAUAAAUUUUGUAUUCAUCAUUUUAAAAAAAAAAAUUCAAAUUGUUAUUGCUAACUACUAUUGUUACUCUAUUUUUUUAGGGGUUAGUUUGUUUUUAUAUUUGGGAAAAUAAAAGAAGUGGUACUUCUGAAAGCACAUAUGAGAAGAAAGAAUUUC